rnacentral:rRNA from 1 species
GAUGAACGCUGGCGGCGUGCUUAACACAUGCAAGUCGAGCGAAGCGAUUUUAAGGAAGCCUUCGGGUGGAAUUAAAAUUGACUUAGCGGCGGACGGGUGAGUAACGCGUGGGUAACCUGCCUCAUACAGGGGGAUAACAGUUAGAAAUGACUGCUAAUACCGCAUAAGCGCACAGUGCUGCAUAGCACAGUGUGAAAAACUCCGGUGGUAUGAGAUGGACCCGCGUCUGAUUAGGUAGUUGGUGAGGUAACGGCCCACCAAGCCGACGAUCAGUAGCCGACCUGAGAGGGUGACCGGCCACAUUGGGACUGAGACACGGCCCAAACUCCUACGGGAGGCAGCAGUGGGGAAUAUUGGACAAUGGGGGAAACCCUGAUCCAGCGACGCCGCGUGACUGAAGAAGUAUUUCGGUAUGUAAAGGUCUAUCAGCAGGGAAGAAAAUGACGGUACCUGACUAAGAAGCCCCGGCUAACUACGUGCCAGUCGCCGCGGUAA